UACGGAAGGUCCGGGCGUUAUCCGGAUUUAUUGGGUUUAAAGGGUGCGUAGGCGGAAUAUCAAGUCAGCGGUAAAAAUUCGGGGCUCAACCCCGUCGUGCCGUUGAAACUGAUGUUCUUGAGUGGGCGAGAAGUAUGCGGAAUGCGUGGUGUAGCGGUGAAAUGCAUAGAUAUCACGCAGAACUCCGAUUGCGAAGGCAGCAUACCGGCGCCCAACUGACGCUGAUGCGCGAAAGCGUGGGGAGCAAACAGG
rnacentral:rRNA from 1 species